rnacentral:rRNA from 1 species
ACAAGUCGAGCAGGGACGAAAGUCGGACUUAGUGAUCCGGUGGUACCGAAUGGAAGGGCCAUCGCUCAACGGAUAAAAGCUACCCUGGGGAUAACAGGCUUAUCUCCCCCAAGAGUCCACAUCGACGGGGAGGUUUGGCACCUCGAUGUCGGCUCAUCGCAUCCUGGGGCUGAAGUAGGUCCCAAGGGUUGGGCUGUUCGCCCAUUAAAGCGGUACGCGAGCUGGGUUCAGAACGUCGUGAGACAGUUCGGUCCCUAUCUGUCGCGGGCGUAGGAAAUUUGAGAGGAGCUGUCCUUAGUACGAGAGGACCGGGAUGGACGUACCGCUGGUGUACCAGUUGUCUCGCCAGAGGCAUCGCUGGGUAGCUAUGUACGGAGGGGAUAAGCGCUGAAAGCAUCUAAGCGCGAAGCCCCCCUCAAGAUGAGAUUUCCCAGUAUGUAAGACCCCUUGUAGACGACGAGGUUGAUAGGUUCGAGGUGGAAGUGCGG